CUUAAAUUAGCCCGACUGCGAUUUUCCUGCUUGCAACUAAGAAACGUGUGGUUCUUGGUUCCGAACUGCUGAGCUGAGCCGGGUUGCGUCUGGUGACCUCAGCCCUCACCGGCCACAGACCCUGAUGGGCCCACAGGGGAAGCGAAGGGCACGGUUUCCAUGCAGUGACCUUGAGUUGCCUUCUACGGCGUGGGCAGAGCGCGAGAGCAGUUUCAGGCCUAAGGGAGGAGCAUCCGGAUGAAUAGCUGCCCGCGAAUAAGGACGAUUGAGAGCCACGCGACAUCUGUCAGGGAUCUCGUCCUGCCCCUGAAGAAACGCCGGGCAUGUUUCCCGCCUCCCCGGCCGAUGGAGCUCCGCAUGGGGUUGGCCCAGCCUCCAUCCAGAGUUCGUCUUUGCCAUCAACGGCCAAAGUGACCUUUCUUUCUCCUGACUGCUCUUUCGGUCGUCAGGUCUACGUGGCUGCUGUCACCGCAGGGACACAACAUAGGGUCUCACCGGCGCACAUCAAGGUGCAGUCAAGGAGCCUGACCGCAGCUGGGUUGCGAGAGUGAAGGCUGAGACAACGCUAGUGUCCAUCAGGAGAGGAUGCGUUAGUGAUCACCAGGGAGUGAAGGCUGAGACAACGCUAGUGUCCAUCAGGAGAGGAUGUGUGAGUUACCCCCAGGGGCAUCA
rnacentral:lncRNA from 1 species